GAGAAAUUAAUUCAAUGGUAGAAUGUCUGUUUUACACACAGUUUGUUAAAGGUUCAAAUCCUUUAUUUCUCA
rfam:Triticum urartu cultivar G1812 contig1450854, whole genome shotgun sequence.